rnacentral:snRNA from 1 species
GCUGUUCACUUUGGCAGAGCAUAUACUAAAAUUGGAACAAUACGCAGACUAGAAUGGUACAAGAGUGACAUGCAAAUUUGUGAAACAUUCCAUUUUUAU